rnacentral:rRNA from 1 species
GAUGAACGCUGGCGGCGUGCUUAACACAUGCAAGUCGAACGAAGCAUUUAGAACAGAUUACUUCGGUUUGAAGUUCUUUAUGACUGAGUGGCGGACGGGUGAGUAACGCGUGGGUAACCUGCCUUGUACUGGGGGAUAGCAGCUGGAAACGGCUGGUAAUACCGCAUAAGCGCACAAUGUUGCAUGACAUGGUGUGAAAAACUCCGGUGGUAUAAGAUGGACCCGCGUCUGAUUAGCUAGUUGGUGAGAUAACAGCCCACCAAGGCGACGAUCAGUAGCCGACCUGAGAGGGUGACCGGCCACAUUGGGACUGAGACACGGCCCAGACUCCUACGGGAGGCAGCAGUGGGGAAUAUUGCACAAUGGAGGAAACUCUGAUGCAGCGACGCCGCGUGAGUGAAGAAGUAAUUCGUGAUGUAAAGCUCUAUCAGCAGGGAAGAUAGUGACGGUACCUGACUAAGAAGCUCCGGCUAAAUACGUG